rnacentral:rRNA from 1 species
AUUGAACGCUGGCGGCAGGCCUAACACAUGCAAGUCGAGCGGAUGAAGGGAGCUUGCUCCUGGAUUCAGCGGCGGACGGGUGAGUAAUGCCUAGGAAUCUGCCUGGUAGUGGGGGAUAACGUCCGGAAACGGGCGCUAAUACCGCAUACGUCCUGAGGGAGAAAGUGGGGGAUCUUCGGACCUCACGCUCUCAGAGGAGCCUAGGUCGGAUUAGCUAGUUGGUGGGGUAAAGGCCUACCAAGGCGACGAUCCGUAACUGGUCUGAGAGGAUGAUCAGUCACACUGGAACUGAGACACGGUCCAGACUCCUACGGGAGGCAGCAGUGGGGAAUAUUGGACAAUGGGCGAAAGCCUGAUCCAGCCAUGCCGCGUGUGUGAAGAAGGUCUUCGGAUUGUAAAGCACUUUAAGUUGGGAGGAAGGGCAGUAAGUUAAUACCUUGCUGUUUUGACGUUACCAACAGAAUAAGCACCGGCUAACUUCGUG